GUGCUGAGCCGUGCUGGUUUCUCUGGGCACUGACAGGCGUUGGGCACGAGGUGUGCCUGACGGGCGCCGUUUCUGACUGGAUUUUGUAACUGUAAGCUCGUGGUUAAAGAAACUUAUUAUCUAAGCAAGUCUGCCAGAAUGAGCUAUGCUUCUCAAUCUAUAAUUAAGCACACAAAUAAAUUUGACCUGACUUUAACUCACCUGCAGGUUUUACUGAAUGCGACAUGUUCCUGUGUACUGAUCUGAGCCCAGCUUGUGACCUCUGUAAACUUUUGUUAGUCUUCCUGGGUGCUUGGUAAAGUCUAAUGCUCCCUUUGCAUAGAUAACGGUUUGCACUUCUGUAUUUUCACAGGCCACAUCUGGGUUUUUUUUUACCGACCAAAAAUAAAGAUCUUUGUGGAUCAAAAAUCCGGGACUGUCAAGUCACAGGUUCCAUGGGGAGAUGUUACCCAAGUACCCAUGAGCUUCCAAACUGACAGCUUCUUUGCGGUGCUUCUCAAGGAGGUUGUCUACAACCUCAUAAUACAAUCACAGGGAUGUCUGACACGUAGCACUAUAAGGAUGCUUCACUCCUUGUCUUGUAGCAUCCAGUCACAGCAGUUAGCCUGCAGGCUGAGAGUGCUAUUUUUGCACUUUGCCAGAUCUGCAAAACCUGUCCCACUGUUUCCUCUCAGUGUUGCCACCUGCAAAUUCCUUGGUCCCAGCAGAGGACCUCUCCUGCACUCAUGGCUAGUCUCAUGUAAGAGAUGUGAUCUUCUGAGGCAGGGAGAAUCAAUGCCAACCACUGUAGGCAGGUGCUCUGCCAGCAGGGCCUCUUUUCACUGUGGUGAGUAGAGCUGCUUCUGGAAUGGGAGCAUGGGAAACGAACAUGUGUCUGCCCGGAGAAAGAAGUAAUGCCACAGCUGUCUUUUGAGGAGCCUGUUGGGUGCUGCUGUGUCUGAUAGCAAGGUGCUUUUGUUGUGAAGAACAGAAGUCAACAGCAGCCAAAAUGUAAUUGCCAGAUGCAUGCGUCACUUGCUGUCCCAUGUUUCCAGGGGUCUAUGCUUACCCUUGCAAACUCAAACUCAUUGCAAAGUCUGUGUGUCUGCAAGAGAACAAACAGCUGUCAUCUGGUAGCCUGGAGGCCGCCAGCCCAACGUUCCUGCUCCAGGCAGAGACAGCUCUAGGAGCAGACCAUGGCACUUGGGACUUGCUUGGGAUUUUGCCUGGUGAAAGCUUGGGAACCUCCCGGAGUGGAGCUAGAACAGCUAAUGGGGGCAACUGUGCCAUGGGGUGUGGGUGCCCUCUUGUCUGUGUUAAAUGUAGUUAGGUAAUCUGGAUCCUUUAUUCAGAGCUGGGAAAGAAACUUCUGCUUUUGUAGUGUGUUCAUUCUUAUGAAUUCACACGAUAAAAGGAGAUGGAUCUGGAGGCAUUUGGAGAGGGAAUUCAAAUAUCUUUUCAGGCCAUCAAAUAUUGUUGUAUUUAUUAUCAAGCCAGAGCCACAAUUUGAUCCAAGGUCUGAAGACCAAGGAAGUUUUAAAGCAUAAUCAUAGAAUCAUAGAGAAUCAUAGAAUGGACUGGGUUGGAAGGGACCUUAAAGUUUGUGUAUAUCUAGGCCCCUGCAGUGGGCUGGUUGCCAUCCACUAUAUCACACUGCCCAGGGCCUCAUGCAGCCUGGUUGUGAACACUUCCAAGACUGGGGCAUCCACAGGUUAUCUGGGCAGCCUGUGGCAGCACCUCACCACCCUCUAAUAUGAAAUAAAGUACUCUUGGCUUGA